GAUGAACGCUAGCGACAGGCUUAACACAUGCAAGUCGAGGGGCAGCACAGGUAGCAAUACCGGGUGGCGACCGGCGCACGGGUGAGUAACGCGUAUGCAACUUACCUAUCAGAGGGGGAUAACCCGGCGAAAGUCGGACUAAUACCGCAUGAAGCAGGGGUCCCGCAUGGGGAUAUUUGCUAAAGAUUCAUCGCUGAUAGAUAGGCAUGCGUUCCAUUGGGCAGUUGGCGGGGUAACGGCCCACCAAACCGACGAUGAAUAGGGGUUCUGAGAGGAAGGUCCCCCACAUUGGUACUGAGACACGGACCAAACUCCUACGGGAGGCAGCAGUGAGGAAUAUUGGUCAAUGGCCGAGAGGCUGAACCAGCCAAGUCGCGUGAGGGAUGAAGGUUCUAUGGAUCGUAAACCUCUUUUAUAAGGGAAUAAAGUGCGGGACGUGUCCCGUUUUGUAUGUACCUUAUGAAUAAGGAUCGGCUAACUCCGUG
rnacentral:rRNA from 1 species